UACGAAGGGUGCAAGCGUUGUUCGGAAUAACUGGGCGUAAAGGGUGCGUAGGCUGCCUGAUAAGUUUGAUGUGAAAGCCCUGGGCUUAACCUAGGAAUAGCAUUGAAAACUAUUAGGCUAGAGUGUUGUAGGGGAUGAUGGAAUUAUGCAUGGAGAGGUGGAAUUCAUAGAUAUGCAUAGGAACACCGGAGGCGAAGGCGAUCAUCUGGACAACAACUGACGCUGAGGCACGAAAGCGUGGGGAGCAAACAGGAUUAGAUACCCUGGUAGUCCACGCUGUAAACGAUGAAUGCUAGACGUUGGGCUUUUAAAAGCUCAGUGUCGAAGUUAACACGAUAAGCAUUCCGCCUGGGGAGUACGGUCGCAAGAUUAAA
rnacentral:rRNA from 1 species